rnacentral:rRNA from 1 species
CAGAGUUUGAUCCUGGCUCAGAACUAACGCUAGCGGCGUGCCUAACACAUGCAAGUCGUACGAGAAAGUCCCGUUCGCGGGAUGAGUAAAGUGGCGCACGGGUGAGUAACGCGUGGACAAUCUACCCUCUAGUGGGGAAUAACCCCGCGAAAGCGGGGCUAAUACCUCAUAAUACUGAUUGAUCGCGGUCGAUCAGUCAAAGAUGGCCUCUCAUAGAAGCUGUCGCUAAAGGAUGAGUCCGCGUACCAUUAGCUAGUUGGUGGGGUAAUGGCCUACCAAGGCGACGAUGGUUAGCUGGUCUGAGAGGACGGCCAGCCACACUGGAACUGAGACACGGUCCAGACUCCUACGGGAGGCAGCAGUGGGGAAUAUUGCGCAAUGGGGGAAACCCUGACGCAGCGACGCCGCGUGCGGGAAGAAGGCCUUCGGGUCGUAAACCGCUGUCAGGAGGGAAGAAACUGUUAGGGUAUAAUACGCCCUUUCACUGACGGUACCUCCAAAGGAAGCACCGGCUAACUCCGUGCCAGCAGCCGCGGUAAUACGGAGGGUGCGAGCGUUAAUCGGAAUCACUGGGCGUAAAGCGCACGUAGGCGGCGCAUCAAGUCAGGCGUGAAAGCCCUCGGCUCAACCGAGGAAUUGCGCUUGAAACUGGUGUGCUGGAGUCUCGGAGAGGUUGGCGGAAUUCCAGGUGUAGUGGUGAAAUACGUAGAUAUCUGGAAGAACACCAGUGGCGAAGGCGGUCUCUUGGUCCAUAACUGACGCUGAGGCGCGAAAGCGUGGGGAGCAAACAGGAUUAGAUACCCUGGUAGUCCACGCUGUAAACGAUGAAUACUAGGUGUUGGGCCGAAUAGCUCAGUGCCGCAGCUAACGCAUUAAGUAUUCCACCUGGGGAGUACGAUCGCAAGGUUGAAACUCAAAGGAAUUGACGGGGGCCCGCACAAGCAGUGGAGCAUGUGGUUUAAUUCGAUGCAACGCGAAGAACCUUACCUAGGCUUGAAAAGCAGUGGACCGCCCCAGAAACGGGGCUUCUCUUCGGAGCCCUGUGCAGGUGCUGCAUGGCUGACGUCAGCUCGUGCCGUGAGGUGUUGGGUUAAGUCUCGCAACGAGCGCAACCCCUACCAUUAGUUGCCAUCAGGUUAUGCUGGGCACUCUAAUGGGACUGCCUACGCAAGUAGUGAGGAAGGUGGGGAUGACGUCAAGUCAGCAUGGCCCUUACGCCUAGGGCUACACACGUGCUACAAUGGGUACUACAAUGGGUCGCGAAGCCGCGAGGUGGAGCCAAUCCCUUAAAAGUACCCUCAGUUCGGAUUGGAGUCUGCAACUCGACUCCAUGAAGCUGGAAUUGCUAGUAAUCGCUUAUCAGCACGAAGCAGUGAAUACGUUCCCGGGCCUUGUACACACCGCCCGUCAAGCCAUGGAAGCCGGGGGUACCCAAAGUCAGUGACCCAACUUUUCGAAGAGGGAGCUGCCUAAGGUAAAACUGGUGACUGGGGCUAAGUCGUAACAAGGUAACCGUA